UCGUUCCUCAGUCGAAGAAAAUACACCACAGCUUCAUCGCUAUUCGGCCAAUCUCUUUCAAAACCCUAGAAGAUGUCCGGCGGUUUCUUCCGGGGUACGACGGCUGAUCAAGAUACUCGUUUCUCAAACAAGCAUGCCAAGCUGCUUAAAUCGCAAAAGUUUCCACCUGAAUUGGAAAAUUUGGUGGACAUGACGAAAGUUAAGAUGGAUGUCAUGCGACCAUGGAUAGCACACAGGGUGACUGAACUUCUUGGAUUUGAGGAUGAAGUUCUCAUUAACUUCAUUUAUGGCCUUCUAGAGGAAAAGGUAGUUAAUGGCAAAGAGAUUCAAAUUUCACUUACUGGGUUUAUGGAGAAAAAUACAGGGAAGUUCAUGAAAGAGCUUUGGACACAUCUUCUCAGUGCCCAGAAGAAUGCCAGUGGUGUCCCUCAACAGUUCUUGGAUGCCAAGGAGGAAGAAACUAGGAAGAAGCAGGAGGAUACAGACCGUAUAACCAGAGAAUUGAAGAGAACUAAAGAGAAGGAAGGCCGGGAACUUGAACAAGAGAGAAUGAAGAGAACAAAAGAGAGGGAAGGCCGUCAGCUUGAGCAAGAGAGAGUGAAGAUGGACAGAGAGGCUGACAACGUGAAAGCUGCUACUUUGGAGCCACACUCAAGGAGCCACACAAAAGUUUCUAGCAAGUGGUCAAGUGACGACAAAGGGACAAAUGAUAGGAAUGGCUCAAAAGGAACGGCCAGGAUCUCCCAGUCUCCACAUUCUGCUGAUCGUUCACCGUCACCACCCCGUGGUGCACGUUCAAGAUCCAUUAGCAAGUCCUUUUCUAAUUCCAAAAGUCAUUCAAGGUCAAGAAGUUUGUCAGCAUCUCCUAAACCUUUAAGGCGCUCUGUUUCUUUUGAAAGGAGGCACCAUUCUCUAUCAAGACGGUCUCUCACACCUCGUCGAGUGGAGUCUCGCCUGCGAUCCCCAUCCCCUCCACAGGUGAGGCGAUCUGUGUCUCAUUCACGUGGACGAUCACCUUCACCUGCAAGGCGAAGGUUGCGCUCUCCCAUACGACGCAGAUCUCGGACUCCUGUGUGGCGCAGAUCACGGUCCCCCAUGCGACGCAGAUCACGUACGCCUUUAAGGCAUAGGUCUCGGUCUCCCAUCCAGCGGAGGUCGCGGUCUCCAAUCCGGCGGAGGUCGCGUUCUCCGAUCCGGCGGAGGUCACGUUCUCCCAUCUGGCGAAGGUCGCGUUCUCCCAUACGGCGGAGGUCCCGUUCUCCAAUCCGGCGGAGGUCACGUUCUCCAAUGCGAAGGAGGUCGCGAUCCCCCGUAAGGCGGAGGUCGCGUUCUCCCAUCCGGCGAAGGUCUCGUUCUCCCAUCCGGCGAAGGUCGCGUUCUCCCAUCCGUCGGAGGUCGCGAUCCCCCAUGCGGCGGAGGUCGCGGUCCUCCAUCCGAAGGAGGUCACCGUCCCCUUUUCAACGCAGGUCAGAGUCCUCUGGGUCUCCUUCACGACAAGAAUCACUGUCCCCUAUGCAUCCUAGAUCUCCUUCCCCAGUUAGACGCAGGUCCCCGUCUCCUGCAAGGCGGCGAUAUCAAAGGGCUCCAUCAACUCCACACGAUCGGUCUCCUCCAAUUAGGCGUAGGACAGCCUUUCCUGGUCGUCAGAGAUCCCCAAGGCCUGGAAGUAUGUCUUCUUCACCAUCAGGUCGGAUUUCUCUGUCUCCUAUACAUGGUACAUCCCCUUCGCUGCUGAAAAAAGGAUCACCAAGGCGCCAACAGAGAUCACCUGUACGAUCUCCUAGAGAUGGGAACAGAAUUGUUCAGAAAAGUCCUCAUGAUCGUCAAGCAUCACGAAAAGAGACUGCUGAGGGUUGUAAAACAUCUGUCUCGUCAGGGAAUCCACCUCCUGUUUCAGUAAGGUCUUUAGAAAGAGAUCCGAAGGGCCGAGGGAUAUCUCAUAAUGGAGAGCCAGCUUUAUCUUCCUCACCAUAUAACUCUCUGUCCGGUUCUGUAUCUCCUAUAGCUGGGAGAAGUCCUAGUGAGGAGAGGAGUCCUAUACCUCCAAAGAGACAAAGAGAAAGUAUUGUCAAGGACCAUCCGGAUAGCAUAGAGGUGGAAGAAAUGACUUUUUCCAGAGUGAAAGAAGAGAAAUACCAGAAUAAAAACACGGUCAAUGAUAGGCGUGACAAGAACAAACAUUCUCCCGAGUUUGCUAGUCAUCACUCUAGUGAUGCUCAAGCUCAGAAGAGAAAAAGCAAAAGUGAUGAUGGAAGGAGGAAUUAUCCUGAACUGGCAGAGGAGCCCCUCGGUAGCCGUAAGGACAAUUUAUCAAGUGACAGGGCACGGAUUUCUGAAAAAGGAUAUAAAACUGAUGAAAAGAACCAAUUACGUGCAAGUGAUGUCAAAGGCAGUCCUAGGCAUCAGGAAGCAGCAAAAUUGCCAAAGUUGUUGCAAAAAGUUGAGAGGCAUAAUCGAAGUGGCUCACUGGAUUCUGGCUCUGAAGAAAGUGAUGAAGCGAGAGGUGGUGCUAGCCAAAAGAAAAAACGCAAAAGGUCGAAAAAGAAAGAUGUCACAUCAGAUGAUGAUUAUAGUCACGACUCCCGUACAGAAGACAGGAAGGAAGCUAAGAGAAGACGCAAAGAGGAGAAAAAAUUGAAAAAAGAAGAGAAGCGUAAACGACGGGAAGAGCGACGUCGCAGAAAGGAUAGUCGACGGACAGAAAAGCUAAAACCGAAGGCAGGCGGGAAUGUUUCUCCAUCUUCAGAUCCUGACAAAAGUCACGAUAGCCAUGCUUCUGAUGCAGAACCUGUUAGGAGGAGGGGUGAACGUGUAACUGACAAUGAGGAGGCAUUGUCUGAUCAGAAGAAACUUGAGAUUGAGUUGCGCGAAAAGGCCCUUGAGUCUCUCAGAGCCAAAAAGGGCAUUGGUCAUUAGUUUUGUUGUUAAUUUAGAAUGCUAGCUUAAAAUGACUUUCAUCAUGUUCUCUCAUGACCCUCCUCCCCCUACAACAUUUACAUUUUGGCUGUGUAUUGUUGAUAGCUGUUUAAUACUAGUCUGUCUUUACUGAUGGCAGCUGAAAGGAAUAUUGAGGAUAUUCUGAGAUAUUAUCGUGAGUGCAACUUUAUGCUGACUUCCUGCUAAAUUUGCUGUUGGUGAUGAUCAGGUUAUUAGCAAUCGGCAUUAGCAUAUAUUAUUUGGAAUGUAUAGAUGAGCCUAUGUUGCCUUGCAAUUCAUUUGGAUCAUCAAACAAGGAUUUUGGUUUUCUUUUCCAGGCUGCUCUGAGCUUCUGUUCCUGUUCUGAUGUUGUGAUCAGUCUUCAGAAUUCAAAUAAGAUGCUGGUAAGUAAAUAGUCCAUGUCACCAUCUGUAAAACAAUACACUUGUAGUCUUAUUAGUAAUCUAUGACAUACCUAAAUCCUAUUCUUUUCUUCGUUUAUAUCUUGUGCUAUUGUUGAUGGUCAAGAUUUCUUGUUCUUUGAUGUGAGUUGGACUUGCCUAAUGCAUUUUAGCUACCUUUCUUUUGUCAUGCUUAAAGCUUCUAGCUUUUUUAGGAAAUUUCAAAAUGUGGAACCUUUAUCCUUCAUUUCUUAAUUAUCCUGACUUUCUUAUUGUGAACUUGCUUCAAAUUUAUAUUUGCAUAGCCUGCUGUAUGGUAUAGUAGGUGAAUAUGUGAAAUCAUACAUGCAUUGUUAUGGCUUAGCAGUUGUACUUAGCAAGGACACAAGUGCAGAUAUAGAGAUGUAUGCUAUACGGCUUAAAAAAUUAAAGAUACAUGUGUUCGUUUAUAUCCCUACCAAAGGUUUCAAUUUGAUUAUGAGCAAACUUGGGAGUCCAAGUUGAUACUUUUUGCGAAAGUUGAUUAUUGGAUUUUGCUUUAAGAUGAAGUAUGCCAUUCCCGGACUAGUUAAGUGCAUAUUUAAAUCUCUGUUCGAUUCCAAAAGUAGGUAAGUUCUGUACAUGCUGUUAUCAUUAGAAACUGGAUUUUCUGUGUCCUAUCCCUCAAAAGUAAAGGGCGGGGUGGCUUUCUUUUUAUGGGUUGUACGAGUUUAUGAUGAAUCCUAGUUAGUUGUCUGAUGUACACUGUAG